AUGUUGGCUUUGGCAGCACAUAUACUAAUUUUGGAAUAAUACGGAGAAGAUGAGUGUACCCACUGCACAAGGGUGAAUGUUUUAAGAAAAGAAAAAUUGUCAUGUGUA